rnacentral:tRNA from 1 species
GCACAAAGAGUUUAGUAGUAGAAAUCCAUCUUCCAAGGUGGAUAUCCAGGUUCGAUUCCUGGAUUGUGCA